UACGUAGGGGGCAAGCGUUGUCCGGAUUUAUUGGGCGUAAAGAGCGUGUAGGCGGCUAGGGUAGGUCCGUUGUGAAAACUCGAGGCUUAACCUCGAGCCGUCGAUGGAAACCGUGUGGCUAGAGUCCGGAAGAGGAGAGUGGAAUUCCUGGUGUAGCGGUGAAAUGCGCAGAUAUCAGGAAGAACACCCGUGGCGAAGGCGGCUCUCUGGGACGGUACUGACGCUGAGACGCGAAAGCGUGGGGAGCGAACAGG
rnacentral:rRNA from 1 species